AUGCUAGUAGAGAAAAAGGGAACAGGAGAAAAAGAAAAAACUCAGAAAUCCAUGGUACAUUCUGGAGUUUGGCCAGGUGUUCAUCCACCUUCCCCACAUUUAUCCACCACUAUCUCUUUAUAUCUCAUCAGACACGGACAAAGAAACAGAACUCACCGGAGAGUUCCGAAGGUGAAGACGUGGUGGCUCUUGGCCUCGGCGGCCGUGGCGCCGACGAAGGCCCCGUCGACGAGCCCAGCCCCCGCAGCGUGCGCCGCGGCGAUGUUGUCCGGCACGCCGGACAGCACCGUCCGGCCGCGCACCGCCAGCCUCCCGUCGCUCACCGUGAUCUGCGGUGUCACCGUCAUCUCCGACAGCCAAAUUCAAAGGACCAACCCUUCUGCAGCACAAGAACAGCAAGCUGAGACGGCCGGCGUCAGGCUCCAGCGAACGACCAAAGCAAAAUUCAGACGAAUCACAGACAGAGAUGCCGAUCAAUCAAGGAUGACGCGUACCUUGCUUCGAUACGGAACUAUUAGUAGCGAUACGAAGAUGGUAUGA
rnacentral:rRNA from 1 species